UUGUGGAAAUCUCACAGAUUCUUGGUUUAUCAUAUCCUUUAAUGUUAGAACAUGCGGCUAACUACUGGUCCAUAUAACAACUGGAAUCAGUAUAAAAUAGAUAAAUUGAAAUGGAGUUCCCAUUGGGGAUAUGUUGAUCUGCUCUGGCAGCUGGUUACUGAUCUUUUCAUUGCAGUCUAUUGACUGCUCUCCUCCUGCAUUGUUUCAAUAACAAAUAGAAAAUAAAAAUUGAAAUGGAAUUCCUGAUUGUUAAGUUCAAUUCUAUACCAAGGAAUCGUGGGAGUUUGUCAGAAUAUAAAAGGGCAAUGAGUUUAAACACCGGCAAUCUAACUAACCAGUCUCAUUCAGAGACAGAACAAAUUGGCAAAUACACCACGUUGGAAAACGAAGAUGAUGAUUAUGUUUCGUUGUGAUAAAAACAGAACUGAUUUAGCACAGACAUUUCCUCGCGCUUCCGUAAUAAAAUGUCAUCCGUUGGCCAUGCCAGAGUUCUUUAUAGAGAGGGUAGUUUAAAGGAGGCGCUACACAUGCUGCUUACUACACACAACCCUCCUGUAGAUUUUUCUACGCAUAUUCAAUUAUUGCAGACCUGCAUUGCGAAGAAUGCGCUCUCAGAGGGAAAGUUAAUCCACUCUUUCAUCACCGACAGGGGUUUUUCGUUUGCUUCAGGCACAUUUUUUCAAAAUAAACUUACCAACAUGUAUGUCAAGUGCGGUAGUUUAAUUCAUGCUCGUAAAGUGUUUGACGAAAUGAUAGAACGAGAUUGCUUCUCAUGGAAUGUGAUCAUUGCAGCAUAUGGAAAGCAUGGGUUUCCUCAGGAAGCAAGAACCCUGUUUCACCAAAUGAAAAAAACAGGCGUGCAACCCGAUCAGUUUACCUUUACAAGCAUGCUCUCAGCUUGUGCCAAAACAGCAGAUCUGGACCAAGGCAUGGACUUACACGAGAGUAUAAUAGAAAAGGGAUUUCUAUCUAAUAUCAUAGUUGCAAGUGCCCUGAUAGACAUGUACGCUAAAUGUGGAAGCAUGCAGAAGGCACGCGAGUUGUUUGACGAAAUGCCCAACCGAGAUGUGGUUUCAUGGACUACUAUAAUUACAGGAUAUGCACAAAAUGGUGUGGUUGAUGAAGCUUUAAGGCUUUUUAAAGAGAUACCUGAACCAAAUGUGAUAUCGUGGAAUGCAAUCAUUGCUGGAUGUGCUCAAAAUGGUCUUAUGGAAGAGGCUUUAAUGAUUUUUAAUGAAAUGCCUCAACCAAACGUGGUUUCAUGGAAUGCAAUUAUUGCAGGAUAUGCACAAAGUGGUCAUCUUCGGAAGGCUUUUAAGUUUUUAAAGAAAAUGCUACGUACAGGUGUUCAACCCAACCAGAUCACAUUUUCCAGCAUUCUCCCAGCAUGUGCCAGAAUGGGAGCUUUGAAAGACGGCAUGUAUAUCCAUCAGAGCAUAAUUGAAAAAGAAAUUUUGCCAGAUGUUGUAAUCGGGAGUGCCCUGACGGACAUGUAUGCAAAAUGCGGAAGCUUACACAAGGCACGCCAACUAUUUGACAGAAUGCCUCAACGAGAUGUGGUCUCAUGGAAUACAAUGAUUGCAGGAUAUGCACAAAAUGGCAUUUUUGAUGACGCUUUACUGCUUUUUAGAGAAAUGCCUCAACCAAAUGUGGGCUCAUGGAAUGCAAUCAUUGCUGGAUAUGCUCAAAAUGGGAUCGCUGAAAAAGUCUUGGACACUUUCAAUCAAAUGCAACAAACUGGUGUCCAACCUGAUCAGUUCACCUUUGCUAUCAUCCUCUCAACUUGUGCUAAAAUGGAAGCUUUGAAAAGGGGUAUGGACAUCCAUCAAAGCAUAAUCAAAAGUGGAUUUUUGUCUAAUGUUGUUGUUGGGAAUGCUCUAAUUGACAUGUAUGCAAAAUGUGGAAGCAUACAGAGGGCAUGUGCAUUGUUUGACAAAAUGCCUCAACGUGAUGUAGUCUCCUGGAAUGCAAUGAUUGCAGGAUAUGCACAAAAUAGUGCUCUUGCUGAGGCUGUAAGGCUUUUCAAAGAAUGGCCUCAACCGAGUGUGGUCUCAUGGAAUGCAAUAAUUUCUGGAUAUGCACAAAAUGGCCUUGUUGAAAAAGCUAUGGAGGUUUUUGAGCAAAUGCAACAAACAGAUGUCCAACCCAAUCAGUUCACCUUUGCCAGCAUCCUCCCAGUUUGUGCUAAAAUGGGAGCUUUGGAAAAGGGCAUGGACAUCCAUCAAAGCAUAAUUGAAUCUGGAUUUUCAACAGAUGUUGCAGUUGGGAAUGCCCUGAUAGACAUGUAUGCGAAAUGUGGUAGCAUACAGAAAGCACGUAAACUGUUUGACAAAAUGUGUCAACCUAACACAGUCUCGUGGACUACAAUGAUUGCAGGAUAUGCACAAAGUGGGCUUUUUGAAAAAGCUUUGGAGCUUUUUAAGCGAAUGCAAUUGGAAGGUACAAAGCCCGACUCCACAACCUUUGCCAGCAUCCUCCCUGCCUGUGCUAAAAUGGGAGCUAUUGAUCUAGGAAUGGAGUUUCAUCAAAAAAUAACUGAAUGCGGAUUUUUUUCAGAUGUUAUAGUUGCAAAUUCUAUGAUAGAUAUGUAUGCCAAAUGUGGAAGCAUACACAAGGCACGUAAAUUGUUUGAUAAAAUGACUCAUCCAAAUGUGGUCUCAUGGACUGCGAUGAUUGCAGGAUAUGCAAUGCAUGGAUAUGGAAAAGAUUCUCUGAAACUCUUCGAACUAAUGAAGCUUUCUGAAACAUAUCCAGACAAUGUAAGCUUUGUUUGUGUAUUAUUCGCAUGCAGCCAUGUGGGUCUAGUGGAUGAAGGCUGCAAAUACUUCAAUGAUAUGAGUAACUCUUAUUGCAUUGUGCCUACAUUAGAUCAUUAUGUAUGUAUGGUUGACCUUCUUGGACGUGCUAGCUAUCUAGAGGAAGCAGUGAACUUUAUCAUCAAAAUGCCAAUUAAACCUGAUGUUUUUGUGUGGAUGUGUUUGCUUGGUGGUUGUAGAUCACAUAAAAAUAUAGGGCUAGGAGAGUUUACAGCAACUCUUCUUUUUGAGUUGGAUCCUAAAAAUGGAGCACCUUAUGUUCUUCUGUCAGACAUUUAUGCAAAAAUGGGGAGGUGCAGUGAUGUUCAAAAGGUACGGGGAUUGAUGAAAGAUAGAGGAAUAAAAAAGAUGCCUGGAUGCAGUUGGAUUGAAAUCCAUAAAACGGUACAUGCUUUUGGUAUAGGAGAAUGAUUACCCACAAACACAUGAGACUAUGCAAAGUUGGAAAUUUGUCCCGCGAUAUGAAGACAGUGGAUAUAUCCCAGAUUCAGGACCUGUAUUCAAUGACGUGGAGGAGAAAAAUAUUCCAUUGGCACAAUACUGAGAAGCUGAAAAUUGUAUUUGCUUGUUAAACAUAUCCAUUGGAUCAACUUUUGGAGUUGCCAAGAAUCUUCAUGCAUGCUGCCAUGCUGCAAUGAGGGUUGUCUUUAUGAUUGCAAUAGAAACUGUUGAAAGAUGUGAACAGUUUCUGUCUCUGCAAACAUGGAAAAUGUUCUUGUACAGAUUUCUGAUCAUGCUAAGUGAAGCAAACGUUAAAUACAGUCUUGCACUUUAAUAAUGCGCCUUGUGCCAGACUUGCAGUGAUAAGAAUAAUCGGAUUGAUUUUCAAUAUCUAAAGAGAGUUGUUUCUAAGUUUUUGGAGAGCUUGACAAAAUCAUAUAUGUAGUAUGAAUCACUGCCUAGAUGUACUAAUGGAAUGUUUAUAAAAUCCUUGCUUGACACUACCAUAGAGGAGUCAUACCAUUGAACUAUUUUUCAAGAAGCCCAUUCAGCUCUGGAAUGAAAAUCUGGAAAAGGCGGAAGUAUUGGAAAUAUAAAAGAGAAGGAAACAUUAGAAGAGGGCUUCUAAUCAUUCCAAUGCUUGAGUGCAAUUAUGGGAACAUCUGUUGGUAGUUCUUUACCCCAACCUUUGUUGUUUCGUAUGCCGUACAUAUGUCAGGUCAACCAUUUGGGAUUUAAUCAUAUGCACCAAACUACAGAGCAAUCUGGUUGCUUGAGCUUCAACAUUUCCUUCAGGCAUCAAGGCUUGGCCAAUUAAUUCAUUCAAAGGGAGUCAAAUUUGAUCUAAUGCAAUGAGUUGAACCAUUCAAGGCUUGUGGAACAUGAGGAACAAAAUGCCAAAACAUUAGCUUCACGGUACCUAACCAUGAGUGCAGCACUGACCGAUUUAGGUUGUCCUAUAUUCCAUCCAGCUCUUGUAAUCUACCUAGAUGGGGCAGCAAAAUUGGAAAAAUAAAUUAGAGACAUACAGUCUCUUAAUCUCUGCA